rnacentral:misc_RNA from 1 species
GCAAACUUGGUCAUUUAGAGGAAGUAAAAGUCGUAACAAGGUUUCCGUAGGUGAACCUGCGGAAGGAUCAUUAUCGAAUAAACUUGGGUAAGGUUGUUGCUGGCUCUUAGGAGCAAUGUGCACACCUACUCCAUUUUUUAAACCCCCUGUGCACCUUGUGUAGAUCUGGAUAACUCUCGGGGAAAACUCCGGUCUGAGAAUGGCUGUGCGAAAAAAGUCAGCUUUUCUUGCGUUUCAGGUCUAUGUUUCUACAUAUACUCCAAAAGAAUGUGUAAGAAUGUAUUUUUCAACAGGCCAUUCGUGCCUUUAAAAUCAAAUACAACUUUCAACAACGGAUCUCUUGGCUCUCGCAUCGAUGAAGAACGCAGC